UUAAGCAUAUCAAUAAGCGGAGGAAAAGAAACCAACAGGGAUUGCCCCAGUAACGGCGAGUGAAGCGGCAGCAGCUCAAAUUUGAAAUCUGGGGCCCCCCGGCCUCCGAGUUGUAAUUUGGAGAGGCAUCUUCGGGGAGGGGGCGCUGGCCCAUGUUCCUUGGAACAGGACGUCGCAGAGGGUGAGAAUCCCGUGCCAGGCCGGCCGCCUCCGCCCCGGUGAAGGGCCUUCGACGAGUCGAGUUGUUUGGGAAUGCAGCUCCAAGUGGGUGGUAAAUUUCAUCUAAAGCUAAAUACCGGCGGGAGACCGAUAGCGCACAAGUAGAGUGAUCGAAAGAUGAAAAGCACUUUGAAAAUAGAGUCAAAAAGUACGUGAAAUUGUUGAAAGGGAAGCGCUUGAGACCAGACUCGGACCCGGGCAAACAUCGCGCCCCCAGGGGCCGUGCAAUUGCCUGGGGCCGGGCCAGCAUCGGUCGGCGUGGCGGGACAAAGGCGCGGGGAAUGUGGCUCCCCUCGGGGAGUGUUAUCAGGCCCGCGCCCAAUGCCGCCUACGCCGACUGAGGACCGCGCCGCCCGGCUAGGAUGCUGGCUUAAUGGCCUUCAGCGACCCGUCUUGAAACACGGACCAAGGAGUCUAACAUCUAUGCGAGUGUUUGGGCUUAAAACCCUUGCGCGGAAUGAAAGUGAGCGGAGGUGGGAACCCCUCGCGGGGCGCACCAUCGACCGAUCCUGAUGUCUUC
rnacentral:rRNA from 1 species